AGUGAACGCUGGCGGCAGGCCUAAUACAUGCAAGUCGAACGGCAGCACAGCAGAGCUUGCUCUGUGGGUGGCGAGUGGCGGACGGGUGAGGAAUACAUGGGAAUCUGCCCAGUCGUGGGGGAUAACGUAUGGAAACGUACGCUAAUACCGCAUGCGCCCUACGGGGGAAAGUCGGGGACCGCAAGGCCUGACGCGAUUGGAUGAGCCCAUGUUCGAUUAGCUAGUUGGCGGGGUAAAGGCCCACCAAGGCGACGAUCGAUAGCUGGUCUGAGAGGAUGAUCAGCCACACUGGAACUGAGACACGGUCCAGACUCCUACGGGAGGCAGCAGUAGGGAAUAUUGGACAAUGGGGGCAACCCUGAUCCAGCCAUGCCGCGUGAGUGAAGAAGGCCCUCGGGUUGUAAAGCUCUUUUGUCCGGAAAGAAAAGCAAUCGGUUAAUACCCGGUUGUUCUGACGGUACCGGAAGAAUAAGCACCGGCUAACUUCGU
rnacentral:rRNA from 1 species